rnacentral:rRNA from 1 species
AAACCUGCUGUCUAGUAUAAGCAAUUAUACCGCGAAACUGCGAAUGGCUCAUUAUAUCAGUUAUCGUUUAUUUGAUAGUACCUUACUACUUGGAUAACCGUGGUAAUUCUAGAGCUAAUACAUGCUACAAACCCCGACUUCGGAAGGGGCGUAUUUAUUAGAUUAAAAACCAAUGCCCUCCGGGGCUCUUGGGGGAUUCUUAUUACUUUCCCAAAUCGCCGGGCCUUGCGCCGGGAAGGGUCCUUUCAAAUUUCUGCCCAAUCACUUUUCAAGGUUGGGGACUGGGCCUACCUGGGUGACACCGGGAAACGGGAAAGGGGGGGGGGGCGGGGGGCCGGGGGCGGGGCCCGCGGGCGGA